rnacentral:rRNA from 1 species
CCUACGGGAGGCUGCAGUGGGGAAUAUUGGACAAUGGGGGGAACCCUGAUCCAGCCAUGCCGCGUGUGUGAAGAAGGCCCUCGGGUUGUAAAGCACUUUCAGUGAGGAAGAACGCCUGGUGGUUAAUACCCAUCAGGAAAGACAUCACUCACAGAAGAAGCACCGGCUAACUCCGUGCCAGCAGCCGCGGUAAUACGGAGGGUGCGAGCGUUAAUCGGAAUUACUGGGCGUAAAGCGCGCGUAGGUGGCUUGGUAAGCCGGUUGUGAAAGCCCCGGGCUCAACCUGGGAACGGCAUCCGGAACUGUCAAGCUAGAGUGCAGGAGAGGAAGGUAGAAUUCCCGGUGUAGCGGUGAAAUGCGUAGAGAUCGGGAGGAAUACCAGUGGCGAAGGCGGCCUUCUGGACUGACACUGACACUGAGGUGCGAAAGCGUGGGUAGCAAACAGGAUUAGAUACCCUAGUAGUC